rnacentral:rRNA from 1 species
CCCUUCGGGGACAAAGUGACAGGUGGUGCAUGGUUGUCGUCAGCUCGUGUCGUGAGAUGUUGGGUUAAGUCCCGCAACGAGCGCAACCCUUGAUUUUAGUUGCCAGCAUUUAGUUGGGCACUCUAAAGUGACUGCCGGUGCAAGCCGGAGGAAGGUGGGGAUGACGUCAAAUCAUCAUGCCCCUUAUGACCUGGGCUACACACGUGCUACAAUGGAUAGUACAAAGGGUCGCGAAGCCGCGAGGUGGAGCUAAUCCCAUAAAACUAUUCUCAGUUCGGAUUGUAGGCUGCAACUCGCCUACAUGAAGCCGGAAUCGCUAGUAAUCGUGGAUCAGCAUGCCACGGUGAAUACGUUCCCGGGCCUUGUACACACCGCCCGUCACACCACGAGAGUUUGUAACACCCGAAGUCGGUAGGGUAACCUUUAUGGAGCCAGCCGCCGAAGGUGGGACAGAUAAUUGGGGUGAAGUCGUAACAAGGUAGCCGUAUCGGAAGGUGCGGCUGGAUCACCUCCUUUCUAAGGAA